UACGUAGGGUGCAAGCGUUGUCCGGAAUUAUUGGGCGUAAAGAGCUUGUAGGCGGUCUGUUACGUCGGCUGUGAAAACCUGGGGCUCAACCCCGGGCCUGCAGCCGAUACGGGCAGACUAGAAUUCGGUAGGGGAGACUGGAAUUCCUGGUGUAGCGGUGGAAUGCGCAGAUAUCAGGAGGAACACCGGUGGCGAAGGCGGGUCUCUGGGCCGACAUUGACGCUGAGGAGCGAAAGCGUGGGGAGCGAACAGG
rnacentral:rRNA from 1 species